UGGGGAAUAUUGCACAAUGGGCGAAAGCCUGAUGCAGCGACGCCGCGUGAGGGAUGACGGCCUUCGGGUUGUAAACCUCUUUCAGCAGGGUAAGAAGCGAAAGUGACGGUACCUGCAGAAGAAGCGCCGGCUAACUACGUGCCAGCAGCCGCGGUAAUACGUAGGGCGCAAGCGUUGUCCGGAAUUAUUGGGCGUAAAGAGCUCGUAGGCGGUUAGUCGCGUCUGCUGUGAAAACUCGAGGCUCAACCUCGGGCUUGCAGUGGGUACGGGCUGACUAGAGUGCGGUAGGGGGUGACUGGAAUUUCCCUGGUGUAGCGGUGGAAUGCGCAGAUAUCAGGAGGAACACCGAUGGCGAAGGCAGGUCACUGGGCCGCAACUGACGCUGAGGAGCGAAAGCAUGGGGAGCGAACAGGAUUAGA
rnacentral:rRNA from 1 species